rnacentral:rRNA from 1 species
UACGUAGGCAGCAAGCGUUGUUCGGAGUUACUGGGCGUAAGGAGUGCGUAGGUGGUGCCCUAAGUCUGUUGUGAAAUCUCCCGGCUUAACUGGGAGGGUGCGGUGGAAACUGGGGUGCUUGAGUGUGGGAGAGGUAAGCGGAAUUCCUGGUGUAGCGGUGAAAUGCGUAGAUAUCAGGAGGAACACCGGUGGUGUAGACGGCUUACUGGACCACGACUGACACUGAGGCACGAAAGCGUGGGUAGCAAAUAGG